rnacentral:piRNA from 1 species
ACUAUUGGGCGGGGUUAGGGUGU